rnacentral:rRNA from 1 species
AUUGAACGCUGGCGGCAGGCCUAACACAUGCAAGUCGAGCGGAUGAAGGGAGCUUGCUCCUGGAUUCAGCGGCGGACGGGUGAGUAAUGCCUAGGAAUCUGCCUGGUAGUGGGGGAUAACGUCCGGAAACGGGCGCUAAUACCGCAUACGUCCUGAGGGAGAAAAUGGGGGAUAUUCGGACCUCACGCUAUCAGAUGAGCCUAGGUCGGAUUAGCUAGUUGGUGGGGUAAAGGCCUACCAAGGCGACGAUCCGUAACUGGUCUGAGAGGAAGAUCAGUCACACUGGAACUGAGAAACGGUCGAGACUACUAAGGGAGGGAGCCGGGGGGAAUACUGGACAAAGGGCGAAAGGCUGAACCAGCCAUGACGGGUGUGUGAAGAAGGCCUUCGGAUUGUAAAGCACUUUAAGUUGGGAGGAAGGGCAGUAAGUUAAUACCUUGCUGUUUUGACGUUACCAACAGAAUAAGCACCGGCUAACUUCGUG